AAUGAGUGCGACGAAGAGCGAGUGAGUGAGUAAGUGAGUGAGUGAGUGAGUGAACGAGCGAGCGAGCGAGCGAGUAAGCGGGCGAACGAAGAAGGACAGACCGAGACUACGAGAGAGAAAGAGAACGAGCGAGUGCGAGAGAGGAUAUGUAAGCCUAAGUGAGACAGGGAAAGAGAGAGGGCGCAAGAGAAAGAAGACAAUAGGAGAGACAGAAUCGCCGCAUCCAAUGUCCAGGAGUUCAUAAAUCGCCCAUAUUCCACAUCGCCGAUGCCUCUCUAUCGAGAGCACAACGGUACGACAGCAUGCCGAAAGCGUCGCAGAGGAGCGUACACCCCGCCAUCUCCGUCGAGCCUUUGUCUCCGUGCACAAUUUUAACGUACACGCGCAAGCUUCCUGGCUUAUAUUCCUCACCGCACGUUUCGUUUGGUCUCACCUCGUCUUCGAGGGUCACCUCAGCGAGGGGCGUCUGUCGCGCAAGAAUUUCUCCCGGAGCCGAGGUGCCGCUGCAGUUCGCGGAAACGAUGACGCGGUAUGCACGAAGGCAUACCAGCCUUCCGAAGUUUCGUUCUCUUGUCGUCCUCGGGAUCGUGGCGCGUAAUAGAGAGAGUGCGGAGGCGAGGUGUUGUGCAUGGCGAUCGACCGCGAGCAUCGCGAGAUUGACGUUUUAGGCGUGUGUAAUCGAGCGACCGUACGUUCCGCGGCAAUCGAGGUUAAUAUUCUUACCUAAGCGCUGGAAAAGCUGUCAAAUUGUGGUAGACGACCUAACCAUACUAGCUGUAGCGACAAAGAGAAUUGAAUCAAUCAUGCACUGAUGAGUUAUCGUAGCCCUAUCCGCAAUAUAGAUAAACAAAGAAAGCAGUUUAAUCAUGGCUGUUCACGUGCCGGCACUGAUUCACAGCGUCGAGGCGAUAACACAAAUCUAUGUAACACCCCGGAGUUCAUGAGCGAUCGUAAAUUUCAGACUAGGCGAACACCAUAAGGCAACGCGCAAAUAUACAAAGCGAUCGGUAAAAGUAAGGGUAACAUUUUCUAACGGGGACGCAAAUAGAAAACGAUCCCGUGUUAUAAUCGUGCAUCGCUACGUGCGGACAGUAGCUCAGAGCUAUAAUGUAAUAAGGGUUGAACGACCCUCGCGUUAGCACUAUUCACGGAAUACGAUCCUUAUUGUAAUACAAUAUCGCGAUAGGAUGAGGACUCGCUUCGCUCGGGGAACGUUCGCUUUUGUAUCUCUUGUAUGCCAUACGUCGUUGUGGGUUGAUUGUAUCGAUCGCGAUCUCCACUUCGCGAUCAAUCCCUCGGAAUGUGGGUUCCAAAGAACCCCGUCCCCGCCCUCCUACACUGUCUUCUUUUCCCUUUUUCUCUUUCUCCUUCCCCCUCCUUCCCUCCUUCUCUCUCUUUCUCCAUCUUUCUUAAUCCCGAAUCACCAACGAUCCAGCUGGAACGCAGUACAACUUGCCAAGUAUACGUCGAUCGGAGCCCGAAUUUUCCAGCGCACCGAGAAAGAGAGAGAUGGAGAGCGACUAUAAAGGAGAGAGGGGGAGAGAGAGAGGGACUGGAGGGGAUAAGAGGAAAGACGAAGAGAAGGCGAUAAAAAGAAAGAGGAAAUGAGAGAGUAAGAGGAUGAUGAACGGAGAAGCGAAUAAAGUAUCUUCAAGAUUAUCGAAAUUAACAUUCGUGUCUUACGUCUUUGGAAUAAUUUCACUCUCGCUAUCUCGUCCGUGCUCGACGAUUGUAUUAACUGGUAUGCUUGCGAUUCUCAGAAGAAAUGCGAGAUACGCUACUUUGUAGAAAUUAUUGAGAGUCAAUUAGCUCGUACUCGUCCGAGCGGCGAGUUCAAAGAGUGUUCCAAGUAUGGAUGUCCUUAAGAGCGACAUUAGAUAAGAGUAGAAAUUACAUCACUCGAUAAAACUAUAUGGUACGUUCUUGACUCUUCAACGAGUGCUGGUGAGAAAAAUUUCGAAUUCAAGAUUACUCUCGAAUUUCUUAAGUCAUAUGCAGGAAUUAUACAUAAAAAAAGUAGAAUAUUUAAAGGAACUUUCUUACAGGGCCAAAGAGGAGGAGGAGGAGGAGGAGAAAGAGAGGUAGGACAGGCUGACGUCUGUUACGCGAUAUAUCGACACUGCCGCCAAUAGUGCGUUUUGUGUGUGAUGAAUUAGUGUCUGCUCCACUUUCGCGAGAGGACUUUGGUGUGACCCGAAAACGUAAUCGAGAGUAUCCUCGCGGCCCGGAAUCUGUGUAUCCCGUAAAUCUCACGGACGCGCGCCAGUGUUGACCGGCUAGAAAGUGAAACGUCAAGACGCGCUGUUUACGACGCCACGGAACGCACCGCGUGACGAUUCCGCUUGUAUCAUUGUGCACGAUAAUUCGGACGGUAGUGAAUGGAAGGCCCGAACGACAUACGACGUGUUAGCCGUGUAUCUCCCUAUAGCGACUUGUACUUUAGCACGCGAUGCAAAUUUCCAUUUUCUGCGAUAACUGCAAAUUGCCGAGCGAGAUUAUAGUUAAUAGAGUGAAAUGGAACGUACCUAAUAUCCUAAUGUUCAGUCCUGUUUCGCAGCUACGCUGUGCCGAAGUGUCGUUGCGGAAGAACAUGCACACACAAGCGCAAUCGAUAUCGAAAUUUAUUACCGUUAUUAUUGUUAUUAUUAUUAUUAUUAUUAUUAUUACGAAAUUAUUCAUUAUAAUUUAAUUACGUUGUACAUUCAACUGUAAUUGGGUUUACAUAAUGUCAACAAUUAUAUUACGACACACGGUCGCAAUGUUGUUACCUUGUUAAUAGAUUUCUCAUUUGACAUGUGGACUAACAGCGUUACACGUUUCGCACACAUAAUACACCGCUACUUCGAAGUUCGUAAAACAACGGCGAAACAUCGACGUGCAAAUUACGACGUUGCAAAUUUUUCUAACGACUUCGUACUUACCGCAUUAUGUUAUUUAUUUGCACGACGACAGAGAGAUAUAUCGAGGAGACCACGUGUACGUAUGUUGUUUAUGAACUGCCGUGAUCAAGAGCGUAUCUUUAGUUUUAAUUUAUCUUUUGUAUCAUGUUUAUCCCUUAUUUUUCAUCUACGUGUACGCUAAUGAUCUUCCUUUCCUCUGACGUUAGGGUCGAUCUCUUUCGAGACAAUACGCACAGCGAAUCAUCGUGGCUAUUUUUUGUUUUCUUGAUUUUCUAAUUGUCGUUGUUGUAUUUUU